CAAUAGCGUAUAUUAAAGUUGUUGCAGUUAAAAAGCUCGUAGUUGGAUUUGUGGCGUACGGUGUGUUCCGGGCACUUGUUGUCUGAGUAACCUGCUGUUGCCAUCCUUGGGUGGAACCUGUGUGGCAUUAGGUUGUCGUGCAGGGGAUGCCCAUCAUUUACUGUGAAAAAAUUAGAGUGUUCAAAGCAGGCUUAUGCCGUUGAAUAUAUUAGCAUGGAAUAAUGAGAUAGGACUUUUUUGCUAUUUUGUUGGUUUGCGCAAGAAGGUAAUGAUUAAUAGGGACAGUUGGGGGUAUUCGUAUUCCAUUGUCAGAGGUGAAAUUCUUGGAUUUUUGGAAGACGAACUACUGCGAAAGCAUUUACCAAGGACGUUUUCAUUAA
rnacentral:rRNA from 1 species